rnacentral:rRNA from 1 species
UACGGAGGGGGCUAGCGUUGUUCGGAAUUACUGGGCGUAAAGCGCACGUAGGCGGCUUUGUAAGUUAGAGGUGAAAGCCCGGGGCUCAACUCCGGAAUUGCCUUUAAGACUGCAUCGCUAGAAUUGUGGAGAGGUAAGUGGAAUUCCGAGUGUAGAGGUGAAAUUCGUAGGUAUUCGGAAGAACACCAGUGGCGAAGGCGACUUACUGGACACAUAUUGACGCUGAGGUGCGAAAGCGUGGGGAGCAAACAGG